rnacentral:rRNA from 1 species
GACGAACGCUGGCGGCGUGCUUAACACAUGCAAGUCGAACGGAAAGGCCCUGCUUAUGUGGGGUGCUCGAGUGGCGAACGGGUGAGUAACACGUGAGUAACCUGCCCUUGACUUUGGGAUAACUUCAGGAAACUGGGGCUAUUACCGGAUAGGAGCUCCUGCUGCAUGGUGGGGGUUGGAAAGUUUCGGCGGUUGGGGAUGGACUCGCGGCUUAUCAGCUUGUUGGUGGGGUAGUGGCUUACCAAGGCUUUGACGGGUAGCCGGCCUGAGAGGGUGACCGGCCACAUUGGGACUGAGAUACGGCCCAGACUCGUACGGGAGGCAACAGUGGAGAGUAUUGCACAAUGGGCGGGAGCCUGAUGCGACAGCGCCGCGUGCGGGAUGACGGCCUUCGGGUUGUGAACCGCUUUCGCCUGUGACGAAGCGUGAGUGACGGUACUGGGUAAAGAAGCACCGGCUAACUACGUG